AUUGAACGCUGGCGGCAGGCCUAACACAUGCAAGUCGAACGGAGUGGCGGACGGGUGAGUUAUGUCUGGGAAACUGCGUGAUAGUGGGGGAUAACGUUCGGACACGGACGCUCAUACCGCCUACGAUCAGAUGAGCCUAGGUCGGAUUAGCUAGUUGGGGAGGCAAUGGCUGACCAAGGCUACGAUCCGUAACUGGUCUGAGAGGAUGAUCAGUCACACUGGAACUGAGACACGGUCCAGACUCCUACGGGAGGCAGCAGUGGGGAAUAUUGGACAAUGGGCGAAAGCCUGAUCCAGCCAUGCCGCGUGUGUGAAGAAGGUCUUCGGAUUGUAAAGCACUUUAAGUUGGGAGGCGUUACCGACAGAAUAAGCACCGGCUAACUCUGUGCCAGCAGCCGCGGUAAUUC
rnacentral:rRNA from 1 species